AUGAACGCUGGCGGCGUGCCUAAUACAUGCAAGUCGAGCGAACAGAUGAGGAGCUUGCUCCUCUGACGUUAGCGGCGGACGGGUGAGUAACACGUGGAUAACCUACCUAUAAGACUGGGAUAACUUCGGGAAACCGGAGCUAAUACCGGAUAAUAUAUUGAACCGCAUGGUUCAAUAGUGAAAGACGGUUUUGCUGUCACUUAUAGAUGGAUCCGCGCCGCAUUAGCUAGUUGGUAAGGUAACGGCUUACCAAGGCAACGAUGCGUAGCCGACCUGAGAGGGUGAUCGGCCACACUGGAACUGAGACACGGUCCAGACUCCUACGGGAGGCAGCAGUAGGGAAUCUUCCGCUAUGGGCGAAAGCCUGACGGAGCAACGCCGCGUGAGUGAUGAAGGUCUUCGGAUCGUAAAACUCUGUUAUUAGGGAAGAACAAAUGUGUAAGUAACUAUGCACGUCUUGACGGUACCUAAUCAGAAAGCCACGGCUAACUACGUG
rnacentral:rRNA from 1 species